AGGAUUUCAGGUCGCGGUGAAUAAUAGGCACAACAGCCUCCUCGUGUAGGUAGUGCAUGCCCCUGGCGAUUUGAACAGCCCAGUUGACAAGAAUGUGUGGGGGUAUCCUCCGACCAGUCAAAGCCCGGUGAUCUCCUGUCCACUUCCUCCAACUCGGAGUACCAGGACGAGCUGGCGGGCCCACACACAGACUGCCCCUUCCAGCGCUGCAUCAUCCCUGCACACAGGCUCCAGCCUCGGAGAACGCACCCCGAAAUCUUUCAGGAGGAGGACUCGAUCGGUGAGUCGUCAGAGACCUCCACACAGGAAAAGCCCUCUCCUAAGCUGUACUACAAGCUUAAGCUUUUUCCUGGGAAGUGGGUGAACAUCUUGUAUGACCGGCUGACCUUGUUG